rnacentral:rRNA from 1 species
ACGGGAGGCAGCAGUGGGGAAUAUUGGGCAAUGGGCGAAAGCCUGACCCAGCAACGCCGCGUGAAGGAAGAAGGUCUUCGGAUUGUAAACUUCUUUUAUGAGGGACGAAGGACGUGACGGUACCUCAUGAAUAAGCCACGGCUAACUACGUGCCAGCAGCCGCGGUAAUACGUAGGUGGCAAGCGUUAUCCGGAUUUACUGGGUGUAAAGGGCGCGUAGGCGGGGAUGCAAGUCAGGUGUGAAAUCUAUGGGCUUAACUCAUAAACUGCCGUUGAAACUGUUAUUCUUGAGUGGAGUAGAGGCAGGCGGAAUUCCGAGUGUAGCGGUGAAAUGCGUAGAUAUUCGGAGGAACACCAGUGGCGAAGGCGGCCUGCUGGGCUCUAACUGACGCUGAGGCUCGAAAGUGUGGGGAGCAAACAGGAUUAGAUACCCUGGUA